rnacentral:rRNA from 1 species
CACGUAGGGCGCAAGCGUUGUCCGGAAUUAUUGGGCGUAAAGAGCUCGUAGGCGGACUGUCACGUCUGCUGUGAAAAGCUGGGGCUUAACCCUGGCCUUGCAGUGGAUACGGGCAGACUAGAGGUAGGUAGGGGAGAAUGGAAUUCCCGGUGUAGCGGUGAAAUGCGCAGAUAUCGAGAGGAACACCAGUGGCGAAGGCGAGUCCCUGGACAACUCCUGACACUGAGGCACGAAAGCUAGGGGAGCAAACAGG